AACUGUGUAGUGGCUCUGUUUGGUAACAAUUUUCUAUCUGUUUUCUAUUAUUCUUUAAGCUAUCUAAGUUAGACUUUACCAUCUAAUAGAAUUUUGAUUAACAUCUCUUUUCUUGAACGUUUGAUUUAUGAGAAAAGUAGUAGGAGGUGUUAAUGCCUGUUAAGAUAUUUGAUAUUAAUUGACAGAAGAUUUUUACAACUGACAAAAUCUUAUUUUACGAUGGCUUCCAAUGUGGAAAAUUUUAUGGAUAUGUCGUUAGAUGAAUAUAUCGCAACAAGGAAAAAUAGUUUACACAGUGAUAAAAAAAGCACACGAGCAGGUAUCAACACUUCGAAUAACUUUGAAGCUGAAAGUCGAAAUUCUAAAAUAAGCAAUGAUGCUAACGAUUAUGGUGAGGUUAUGAGUAAGAAUUUCCAAUCGGUAACUGAUGAAAAGGCUCCUGUGAGUUCUAGUGGUAAAUUAAAUAAGACAUUUGGCAUUUGGCGAGGUCCAAGUUGCGAAACCAAUUAUAUUGAUCUGGAUUAUAUGAAGGAUGAAUUUGAUGAGAUGUUCAAUGAUCCAGAAUUACAGUUAUCGAGUGUAGUAAACAAGAAAGUUCAGAAAAUAAAGAAUCCCAAUGAUUUACGCGAACUACUUCAAAACAGUAAAAUAAUUGACCGCAGUACUAUUAAAGGGGAUGAACAAUGUUAUCAUACUGAUAAUGAAAGAAACGGUAUACAAAAAACCAUCCAGUCUAAUUCUACCACGGAAAUACGACAAAGUGCAAUGUCGUUUUUAGGAGGCAGUGGACAAUUUCGUCGGCGAUGGUAUAAAAAUCAGAAUGCCGGCAGGCGCAAUAAAGAUGGAUGCGGCAAUCGAAGAAACAAUUAUAUGAAUAAUGAAAGUCAAAAUAAGAUUUGGAGUAAGAAUCGUAAUGGAGGAAGUGGUAGUGGAGUGUAUAAUGGAAAUAUUUUACCUAUUAAUCAUAAUGGACGUAUUCAUCGUUUUAAUCAACGAAACAAUGAAGAUAAUUUGAAUAAAAGAAUCAAAAAUGUACUGGAGCAAAUCAACAGUAACAAUUCAGUUUACCUCAAUAAACAGGCCGGCCCUGUUCGUGAUCUGACAAUUGAAUGUCCAAGUAUUGCCGGACGGUUAACAACAGGAGUAGUACAAACCACUCCGCCACAAGUUUUGAAACCACCUGUAAACCAAGCACAAAUUGAUAUAAAAGCUUUGUUAGGCGUCAAUGACAAUAAUUUGAAAGCUGAUACCAUGGCAAUGUGGGCUGGGAAAUUGUUGGAGUUAUUUCAGUCCGGCCAACAACAGAUAGCUCACAAACCGAUAUACGAUAUGCAAAUUCAAAAAGAAAUUCACGAGUUACAGGGUAAAUCCUUGCUUUAUAAAUGUCCCAGUGGUGAGGUCGUAAGCUCGGACGGUUCAGGAAUUGAUAAUUGCAAAGUUACACCAAAUUCAAGUGGAGUAACACUUAACUAUAGGUUUGGCUAAACAUAUAGUUAGAAGAAACUUAACAUCUAUCUAUUGAAAAAAUUGGCCACAUUUACAUUUUUAUACUGAAAUGAGGGGACGAUGAGUCGCGAAUAAAAGGGCGACUUUUGAAAAUAUGAUGUUAUUGUGAUCGCAAUGUGUGGAAAGAAGAAGCAAUCGUAAUUUUAGUUUAACAAAUAUAUGCUUCUUUAUCAAUAAAUUGGAAGACUCGACUAUUAAUUAUCUUUGCUACUAAUACUUCGAAAUGCAGCGUGUUCAACAGAGAUAAUAAAAUUAUAAUGGUUGACGUAGCUAAAUAAAAUAUUGACAUGUAGCAUAAACUAGAGUAUUGUAAAAUCAGUGAUGUCCGAUAUGUCAACGCGUAUAUAUUUUUUUUGAGCUAACCGGUGUAUUGAAUUGAAAGUAAACAUUAAUUUGCAACCAUCAUAUUAGUGUUUCAAAUAUAAUACACAUAUAGAUAGGCACCAAAAGAAUAAAAUUGUUGUAUUGAAAUUAAGUAAUUUUAAAAACCUUCCCUAAUAAUAAAUCCAGUAAAUAUACAUAAUUAUAACAUAUAAUUUCUCGGCAGCUAUUUAAAAAGAAGUAGUUAGUGAAUACAAAUAUGUUUUUAUACGUAAUUACUUAACUUAAUGUUGAAGAUUUGUUGUGGUUAUUACACUCAUAGACUUUAAUCGACCUUAAUGAAAGUGUAGAAAAAAUGCACCUGAAACUAAAUAAUAAAAACUUUAUCCUAUAUUAUAAGAGUCUAA
rnacentral:misc_RNA from 1 species